UUUUUCAAUAGCUUACACUAUUUAGAUUCUUUAAUUAUAGUUAACGUUGAGUUUUCUAGCUUCAUGCAUUGCUUUUAAUAAUACAUAUUGCUAUGAGGUAUAACAUUUGGUUCAGGGCCUCUUUUAAGGCAGGGCCAUAGGAAGCUCUUUUCGAUUCGGGGGGCUGAAUGCGAGGGCCGAAAGACCAAGGAAAUUUUUAAAUGUAAAGUCUAUGAAAUGCCACUUCCUGGACUUUGGGGAAGAUUUGACAGAAUUCUGAUGGUCAGAAAGCAGCGUUUUAGUAUGUUCAAAUUGACAAUUUAGUAGUACUAAAUGGACAAAGGCGUAUUUAAUUAACUAUAUAUUGGAUAAGUUGCAGGAAAGUAUGGGUAAUAUCUUCAUUCUUUGCAGUUUGUCAUGGAUUAAAUGAUAAAGGUCUGCAUGAUUUGGAAAAAAAAUGAUUAUUAGCAAAUUAUUGGGGAAGGGGGGAGGGGCUGCCCCCCCCUGUUGCUACGGCCCUGUAAGGAUGUGCAACUGGAAGGGACAUAUUUAGCGGGGGACGGGGAGAUGACCCAGUCGGCAAGUCUGUGUCGCUGCAGCUACCUGCAACAUAUGUAUGCAUGGUUUAACUAAUAAGUAUGUGCCAUAGGGCAGCAGAUCAGGCCAUACCUAGAAUUCUGAGACAACCGAGUCGACCACCAAAGGUGGGAGCCUCUAGAGGGGUCUGGGGGCAUGCCCCCUCCCUCUGGGCGCAUGCCUGGAUUUCUUGAAGCUCACUUUGAGGAGUUUUCCAACAAGAUAUUAACCUUACACUAGUCCCUGAAAAUCAAACCAGCUGAUCUUCUGUGAUUGGUCAAAUUGAUCCUUGCAACCAUGGUGUUUUGCAACAUUUUUUCCCCACCAAAUAAUGCCAGGCAGGAUAUUUUUUCCCUCAGUUUGUUAGUGCAGGUAUUUUUUUUGUUCAGAAUAGCCUUGCAGGAAAUUUUUUUUCAAAAUCACCCCCCCCCCCCUCAAAAGUUAAAUGGUUGGCUCCUAAAAACAAAGCAGUGACAACAGUUGAGUAAUGACCAUGUAUACAGAUAGAUGACUUCUGUUAAACAGUUCACUUGCAGUAUUACAGAAAUUAACUAAUGAGUAAAAUCAUCUGGCACUAGAUAGAGCAAAUAUUAAUGCGGGUUUAAAUGCUUUUGAAGGCUUGAUUUCAACCUGCAUUUUGUUACAACCAUUUUUACCUCAUACGAGGCAGUUAAACUUUAUUUGGCAAAACACACUAAAUGAGUAUUUGGCAACAAACUACUGGAAUUUCACACAGAUCCUAUAAUACUAGAGACCCUUUACAAUUAAAUUGUUUUUAUACAAUUCCAUAUAAUUAAUGCAUAUAUAGACAUGCAACUGAAAGUAACUGUUUGCAACAUUGUUCCAUCUUCACUUUAUACUGUCUCUAUAGGAUCUAAAAAGCACAGAAAUGAGAUACC